GACGAACGCUGGCGGCGUGCCUAAUACAUGCAAGUAGAACGCUGAAGAGGGGAGCUUGCUCUUCUUGGAUGAGUUGCGAACGGGUGAGUAACGCGUAGGUAACCUGCCUUGUAGCGGGGGAUAACUAUUGGAAACGAUAGCUAAUACCGCAUAACAAUGGAUGACACAUGUCAUUUAUUUGAAAGGGGCAAUUGCUCCACUACAAGAUGGACCUGCGUUGUAUUAGCUAGUAGGUGAGGUAAUGGCUCACCUAGGCGACGAUACAUAGCCGACCUGAGAGGGUGAUCGGCCACACUGGGACUGAGACACGGCCCAGACUCCUACGGGAGGCAGCAGUAGGGAAUCUUCGGCAAUGGGGGCAACCCUGACCGAGCAACGCCGCGUGAGUGAAGAAGGUUUUCGGAUCGUAAAGCUCUGUUGUAAGUCAAGAACGGGUGUGAGAGUGGAAAGUUCACACUGUGACGGUAGCUUACCAGAAAGGGACGGCUAACUACGUGCCAGCAGCCGCGGUAAUACGUAGGUCCCGAGCGUUGUCCGGAUUUAUUGGGCGUAAAGCGAGCGCAGGCGGUUUGAUAAGUCUGAAGUUAAAGGCUGUGGCUCAACCAUAGUUCGCUUUGGAAACUGUCAAACUUGAGUGCAGAAGGGGAGAGUGGAAUUCCAUGUGUAGCGGUGAAAUGCGUAGAUAUAUGGAGGAACACCGGUGGCGAAAGCGGCUCUCUGGUCUGUAACUGACGCUGAGGCUCGAAAGCGUGGGGAGCGAACAGGAUUAGAUACCCUGGUAGUCCACGCCGUAAACGAUGAGUGCUAGGUGUUGGAUCCUUUCCGGGAUUCAGUGCCGCAGCUAACGCAUUAAGCACUCCGCCUGGGGAGUACGACCGCAAGGUCGAAACUCAAAGGAAUUGACGGGGGCCCGCACAAGCGGUGGAGCAUGUGGUUUAAUUCGAAGCAACGCGAAGAACCUUACCAGGUCUUGACAUCCCGAUGCUAUUUCUAGAGAUAGAAAGUUACUUCGGUACAUCGGUGACAGGUGGUGCAUGGUUGUCGUCAGCUCGUGUCGUGAGAUGUUGGGUUAAGUCCCGCAACGAGCGCAACCCCUAUUGUUAGUUGCCAUCAUUCAGUUGGGCACUCUAGCGAGACUGCCGGUAAUAAACCGGAGGAAGGUGGGGAUGACGUCAAAUCAUCAUGCCCCUUAUGACCUGGGCUACACACGUGCUACAAUGGUUGGUACAACGAGUUGCGAGUCGGUGACGGCGAGCUAAUCUCUUAAAGCCAAUCUCAGUUCGGAUUGUAGGCUGCAACUCGCCUACAUGAAGUCGGAAUCGCUAGUAAUCGCGGAUCAGCACGCCGCGGUGAAUACGUUCCCGGGCCU
rnacentral:rRNA from 1 species